CAAUCACUUUAUCAUUACUUUGAAUAAAAUAGAGUGUUUAAAGCAAAACAUUAAGUUAAUGAAUAUUCAAGCAUGGGACAAUGCUGAGGGGAUGUCUUCGGACAUUUCGAGAGAAGGAUUAAAAGGAACAAUUGGGGUGAUUCAGAAAAUAACGGGAGAGGUGAAAUUCCAUGAUCGCUAUAAGAUGCACGAGAGCGAAAGCAUUUCACUCAACUGGGUCCAUUAAUCAAGAACGAAAGUUAGGGGAUCGAAGACGAUCAGAUACCGUCGUAGUCCUAACUAUAAACGAUGUCAACCAAGGAUUGGAUGAAAUAAAGAAAUUCGCGGAUGAAGAAACAUUGUUUCGGAAACCAAGAGUUUCACAACUACCUUGUUCAGAACUUAAAGAGAAAUCUCGAGUUUAUGGACUUCAGGGGGAGUAUGGUCACAAGGCUGAAACUUAAAGGAAUUGACGGAAGGGCACACCAGGAGUGGAGCCUGCGGCUUAAUUUGACUCAACACGGGAAAACUUACCAAGACCGAACAGUAGAAGGAAUGACAGAUUAAGAGUUCUUUCAUGAUUUAUUGGGUAGUGGUGCAUGGCCGUUCUUAGUUGGUGGAGUGAUUUGUCAGGUUAAUUCCGGUAACGAACGAGACUGAAACCUAUUAAUUAGUUUCCUGCCUAUACGACAGGAAUCUCCGCAAGGUCAGGUGCCUCGGUACCACUUCUUAAAGGGACACAUUUCAAUUGUCU
rnacentral:rRNA from 1 species